rnacentral:lncRNA from 1 species
CAGGAAAUUGAACAGACUUAUUCAACUUCUCAAAGUUACCGGACUGAAAUCGCUUUAAUACAAUCGUAAGAAUAUUCGGCGCCUCUAAUACUGUUAGCUUCUUCUUGGCUUUCUCAUAUGAUUUACAUCUGCCACAAUUAUACUUAUUAUCCUUAUCCAGGAUUUCAGGCGCUGUAAACUGUCCAAGAGACCAUCCAUACUCCACACCUUAAGAGUAUAUUUACAUCUGCCACAAUUAUACUUAUUAUCCUUAUCCAGGAUUUCAGGCGCUGUAAACUGUCCAAGAGACCAUCCAUACUCCACACCUUAAGAGUAUGAUCACUACUGCCACUAACAAAGAAGUCCCGCUUUUUUUUGAAAAUGCAAUGGCUCCAACAACUCACAAAGGGAGAUCAAGCCUCUUGUUUUGAGAAGGAAAAUACAAGUCAUCUUUUUCAGGCCAUCGAGGAUCUUCACAUCCAGACUUCGGCAUUUGGCACAAUAGAAAAACCAUUAUUUAGAACAAGUUUUUUUUUAUAGAACAUCGAUCGUGGGUAUCAUCAUUCCUCUUCCAGUCACCACCUUUGCAUGGCCAAUGGGUAGA